GAUGAACGCUGGCGGCGUGCCUAAUACAUGCAAGUCGAGCGAACAGACGAGGAGCUUGCUUCUCUGAUGUUAGCGGCGGACGGGUGAGUAACACGUGGAUAACCUACCUAUAAGACUGGGAUAACUUCGGGAAACCGGAGCUAAUACCGGAUAAUAUUUUGAACCGCAUGGUUCAAAAGUGAAUGACGGUUUUGCUGUCACUUAUAGAUAGCUCCGCGCUGCAUUAGCGAGUUGGUAUGGUAUCGGCUUCUCAAGGCAACGAUGCGUGGCCGAACUGAGAGGGUGUACGGCCACUCUGGGACUGAGACACGGUCCAGAGACUUACGGGCGGCAGCGGUUGCGACUGGUGCGAGAUGGGCGGAAGCCUGACGGAGCAGCGCCGGGUUAGUGAAGCGGGGCCGCGGGUCGGAUGACGGUGUUAGUGUUGAAGACCACUUGUGUAAGGAACGAUGCACGUCUUGACGGUACCUAGAUAGGAAGCCCCGGCUAACUACGUG
rnacentral:rRNA from 1 species